AUCCUUGUGUAGAAGGAGCCUAAACACCCGCCUUCUUGGUAACACCUGUGCCCGCAGCCCCUUCCUCUAACCUGCUUUUCUGCUUCUGUAAAAUUCCGCUUC